rnacentral:rRNA from 1 species
UACGGAGGGGGCUAGCGUUGGUCGGAAUUACUGGGCGUAAAGCGCACGUAGGCGGCUUUGCAAGUUAGAGGUGAAAGCCCGGGGCUCAACUCCGGAAUUGCCUUUAAAACUGCAUCGCUAGAAUUGUGGAGAGGUAAGUGGAAUUCAUGGUGUAGCAGUGAAAUGCGUAGAGAUCAUGAGGAAGACCAGUGGCGAAGGCGGGUCUCUGGACAGUUCCUGACACUGAGGCACGAAGGCCAGGGGAGCAAACGGG